rnacentral:lncRNA from 1 species
GAAAAGCAAUAAAUGUAUAUGAAAGAAAACAGGAAACUAAUUAUCUCCCCCAGUCAACUCAAACGGCUGGCCUCUACUACCAUUCAUUGAUUUGUUAUUUCAAUACACCCAUCCGUUCUGACGAUAGCUAUUUCCAAAGAAUAAAUCUUUUAUUUGCUAUCCACUUUUGAAAUUAGAUUUCUCACCUUCUCCUUCAAUCAGGACUUCUUCUCCAUCUUCCCUUUGAGUCGAAAGUAUGCCGAUUCAACUCCUCUCCCAUGAGGUAAGAGAUCUCUCCUCUAUUUAGAGUAUUCUUUGUGGUUUUGUGUGCUUGCGAGUUUCCUGAUCUAUAAAUAUGCUGAAAGAUAAUCUCUUGAAAGCAAGAUUUCUUGUUCUGAAUGUCUCUUAUAAUCGCUCCGAUCACUGAUUUAUCUGUUGAAGACGAUUGACAUUUUUUUUAUUGUUCUGGAAUCCCCCAUGACUUUAACCGAUUGUAUACCCAUUAUUAUCCCUAACUUUAUGCCUUCCAAGCAUGCAAAUGCUUCUACUGCAAACGGGGAAGAGACAUUGUUGUAGAGGGUUGACUUUAAGACCAGAAUACAUUUCAUACACAUAUCUUAUGUCAAUAAAAUACACAUUACCAUUGGACAUAAUCAACUAAAGUCAUUCAUUAAACAUAUUACUUAACCGUUAACGAAUAUAUCAAACACCUCACACAUACUUAUAUAUAUAUGCCUAAAUACAUAUAUAUGCAAGUGCUGAAUCAUCAAUUAAACAUAUUCAUUAUCCAAAUCCAGCAUUUAGUCGAAUUCACUCAUCAACUCAAAAUAAUUAUUAAUAUCUAAUGCAAAACAUACGCACAUCAUUUUUACCAUGAGUAACCUAACAAACAUAUUUCAUAUUCAUAUAUAUACCAAAACUGAUUCAACCAAAACACAUCCAAAAUCAUCAGCCAUAUUCCAUGCAUAUAGCAUAUAUAAACAUGACUAAGUUCAUAUAACCACUUACCAUAUUAGCCAUUUUCGCAUGGCUUAAUAUAUACACCACUUCAUACUUAUCCAAAUAUAACCUAGCUUAUACAUACCAUAGAUCCAAGUUUAAACUUAUAAUGUACCAAAAACAGUCAAUAAUGUGAUGGAUUUUGCUGAUGAUCCCCGAGCUCGUAACUAAUCUUCAAAAUCUAUAAAACAGAGGCAAACAUAAAUACACAUACAGUAAAAUAUUGUAGCUUAGUAAGUCAUAAGCAAAUAAAUCAUUAAAUGAACAUUAGUAUUGAACUAACUAAACUGAAUCAAAUAAUCUAUAAUCAGAUACACAUUUUUCAUGCUUGAAACUCAUAUACCAUCACAUGAACGAUAUGUAAUAAUAUUAACUUGGCCGAAUACACAUUAGUUGUGACACCCCUAAAGUGACCCUAGUCGGAAAGUGGUUUUGGGACCACUAAACCGAGUCAUAAAGAUAAUUAACCGUCAUAGUUGAUGCUCAUUAUAUGUACAUAUGCAUGUGUGAAAAUUUCAUGUUUGAAUUUUGUUAAUAGUAAGUGAAUUUUAUCAAAUAGGACUUAUGUGAGAAAAUUUUGAAAUGUGAUAGGUCAAAGCAUAAGGAUCUAUUAGUGCAUGAAAUAAAAAGGGGGGACUUGCAUGUCAAUUUCCCCCCUAAUUAGUAGUGGCCGGCCAUGACAAGUAUGGUAGACCAAGUGUGAUGGGCAAGAACAUGUCAUAAACAUGUUAAGUUAGUGUUUCAUGGGAAGUAUGAUAAAAUAAGGAGCAUGGGAAUAAAAUAAUGAAAGGGAAUAUGAUGAAAACAAAAAAAAAAAGUGUGUGGUUGUUCCCCCAUUUUGCCGAAACAAGAAAAAAAAAAGAGAAAGGCUUCAUCCUUUGGUUCUUCUUGGCCGGUUUGAAAGGAGGAAGAAGAGAGGUUUCGGUCACCUUGAGCUUAAGGGGAGGUUAGUAUGUUGUGUUAAAUUCUUAAGUUUUAAACUUGUUUCUAGUUAAUUAGCAAAUUUCUUACACAAACCAUUGCAAAAUUUUGAAAUCUCGGUGAUGGCUUGAGCAUUCAGUUUUGGUUGUUGAAAGGAAUGAGUUGGAGGUUGGAUCAUGUUAAGAUUCGGCCUUGUACAUAAACAUUAAGAGUUUGAUGUUUUUGAGAUUUUUGGAAGGUAAAUAAGGUUAUACACAAGAUAAAUACUAAGAUUUUGGUUGACUUGUUUUAGUGAGGUUCGGCCAAGGACCUUAUGUGCAAGUUUAUUCGGUUUAAGUAGAGAAAACGUGACGGAUAGAUAUGAAGUAAUGUGUAUAUUGGUUUGGAUGCUAAGCAAGGAAAUAAUUGUUAGUAACAUAGUAUCUAUGCACUUAUGUAUAUAUAUGUAUGUACAAAUAACCUAUUUAGCUAUGGAUAUCUAAGGUGUUAAAUAAUGAAAUUCUUGAUGACUUGGGUUAAAUAGCAUUCGGCCAAGGACUAUAUGGGCUUGUUAAUUCGGUUUAAGUGAAGAAACUAUGAUAGAGAAAUAUGACUAAAUUGUGGACUUUGACAAUUUAAAUGAUGCAUUUGACUUGUGUACCGACCUAGGACGAUAUGUGUUUCUAUAUGAAGUUAGAUGGUGUUGAUGAAGUUCGGUAAUGCAUGAUGUUUAAAUAGUAUUGAGCAAGGUCAUUGUACUUAAAUUGUAUGACAUACAUGUAUUGAAUGGAAUUACCCAAGUGAAAAUAUUAAAUGAAUUUAUUUGUUUAAAUUAAGCUCAAGAGCAAAUGGGAUCUAAAUCCGAUAAAGGGAAGGAAAAAGUGAUCGAAUAGCCGCCGAAAUCGUUCGACCACAUCCGAGGUAAGCUUUAAGUGAUUAAACGUUGAGUAAAUUCAAUCAUAAUAGGACAUAAUGAGUUGAUUUAAUAAGAUAUGAUGUGGCCAUGAUAUGUCUUAAACUCAAAUGGUAAGUUCAUAUGUGUUUGGACUUGGAAAGUUAAGAGCAAAUUGUAAUAAUUUGCUUUGGACAGCAGCAGUAACGUGAUUUUAGAAAAUCACUAUAAAUUGUUGGUGUGGAAUUAUAGGCUGAAUAAAAUAUGUAAUCAAGGCUUAAUUAGUCUAGUUUCUUAUAAAAGAGACCUUGUGAGCAAACAAAUUUCCUAUAAAGAGAUAUUUAAAGUUGUGUGAGACGGUGUCAGAAUGACUCUGAAAUCCCCUGUUCUGUUUUUAGAAAAUCAUUAUAAAUUGUACAAAAAUGGUUAUAAGAUAAAAUUUAUAUGCUUAGACUCCUUAAUGAGUCUAGUUUCAAAUGAAAUCAAAUACAACACAUUUUGAAUUCUGUAAAAUGAGAAAUUUGAUUCGCAGUGAAGAGUGCUCAGAUUAGUCAAACAGAGAAACAGGGGAAACUUUAAGAAAAAUCUGGUAUUGAUUGGCCAAACCUAAAAUUCUGAAACUUUUAUGGAUGGAAGAUAUACAAGUCUAUAUUUAGGGAAGAUUAACGGCAAGUGAUUUGGAGUUUUGUAGCUCCAGUUAUAAAUAAUUUAGUGACUACUGCUCAGGAAAACAGCUCGUAAUGAAUAUGUGAUUUUGUUGUAAACAUGGAUAAAACUUGUUUUAGUUACUCAUAAGCUAUUGAUUAAACCCAUACGUGAAUUCUAAAUCGUGAUAUUGUAAAACGAUAUAUGAGUGUUAGAUGGAUCUUUGAUAUUAAAAUUUGUGAAAUUGUAAGUUUAUGAGUAUUCGAAUAUGAAAUGAUAGUAUGGCGUGAAAUUGAAUUAUUCAUUGGGAAAUGAUUAAUGUAGAUUCGGCCAAGACAAAGUGUAUACAUGAUAGUAUAUGUGAUAUGUGAAGUAUAUUUGGAUAAUUGUGAUGUGAAUGUAUAUAUAUGUGAUAAGGCCUAAUGGCCGAUGUGAUGAAUGUGAAAGUGUAUAUAUGUGAUAAGGCCUAAUAGCCGAUGUGAUGAAUAUGAAAGUGUAUAUAUGUGAUAAGGCCGAAUGGCCAAUGUGAUGAAUGUGAAAGUGUAUAUAUGUGAUAAGGCCGAAUGGCCACUGUGAUGAAUGUGAAAGUGUAUAUACAUGUGAUAAGGCCUAAUGGCCGAUGUGAUGAAUGUGAAAGUGUAUAUAUAUGUGAUAAGGCCUAAUGGCCGAUGUGAUGAAUAUGAAAGUGUAUAUAUGUGAUAAGGCCGAAUGGCCAAUGUGAUGAAUGUGAAAGUGUAUAUAUGUGAUAAGGCCGAAUGGCCAAUGUGAUGAAUGUGAAAGUGUAUAUACAUGUGAUAAGGCCUAAUGGCCGAUGUGAUGAAUGUGAAAGUGUAUAUAUAUGUGAUAAGGCCUAAUGGCCGAUGUGAUGAAUGUGAAAGUGUAUAUAUGUGAUAAGGCCUAAUAGCCGAUGUGAUGAAUGUGAAAGUGUAUAUAUGUGAUGAGGCCUAAUGGCCGAUGUGAUGAAUGUGAAAGUGUAUAUAUGUGACAGGGCCGAGUGGCCAACGUGAUGGAUGUGAAAGUGUAUAAAUGUGAUAAGUCCCGAAGGGCAAUUGUGUCAGUACUAUAUCCGGGUUAAAACCCCGCAGGCUUUAUGCGAGAGUAUUAUCCUGAUUAUUGUCCGUAGGCUUCGUGCUCGUACUAUAUCCGAGCUUUAAAGACCCGACGGCUAAAUGCUAGGAUUCAAGUAAGACUUUGAUAUUGAGUAUCUGCAUUAAGUUACCAUCAAAUAAGUAUUAUGUAUUCAAGAUGUUCAGGUACGUAUUACUUACUCAUCGGUGGAGUGAUUUCGAGGUGAAUUAUCAGUAUCAAAGAGGUAGGUAAAUGUGAUUAAUAUUAUAACUCCAAAUGUGAGAAUGUGCUUUGGAAAUAUUUGACCAUCUAGGUCAUUAUUAUUCGAAAGUAUAUAUGUGGCAGCCAAGUGUUGCGUUUAAUGAUAUUAUAGAUCGAGAUGAAGCUCUAGAUUAACUUCAUCGAACAGUUGAAAUGAAUGACCAAUAAUAGUGAUUGAGAACACUUUGUCUUGCUUAAAACUUACUAAGCAUUAAAUGCUUACUCCGUUCUUUGAAUCUCUGUUUUAUAGAUUUUGGUUCGUCAGCUAUCGGACUCGGGAUUAUUGAAGUCGAAGUCGCCCACACUAUCAAAGCCCUUUUGGUACACUUUUGGUUGAACUCUGAAAAUGGCAUGUAUAGGACUACCCUUUUGUAGUGGGUCAUGGACCCUUUGGAUUUGUAUAAUUUUGGAUAGCCAUGCGAAAAUGGCUUAUAUAUGUUUGAGCAUAAUGUUAUAAUCAUUUGGUAUGGAUAUGGUUAUUGAGAGGUGUGGAUAUGCUUAACAAGGAUUGGCCAUGGGAAUGGUUAAUCACUAUCAUAAUUUGUGUUAUUUAUGCUAAAAGGGCUAGUUGAAUCAUGGAAACUAUGAAAUAGGUAAAGUCUACCUUAAAGGCAGAUGUUGACAGCAGCAGUGAUGUAGAUUUGGAAAAUCACUAAAAAUAGUAGGAAUAGAAUUAAAUAGUGAAUAAAUUAUUUAAAUAAACCUUGAUGAAUCCACUUUCAUAUGGAAGAAACGAAACGGUCAUAUGAGUGGUAUGUUAAGAGAUAAUUAGGUUUUCGUGAGACAGGGCUAGAACGGUUUCUGGAUUCCUGUUCCGACUUUGGAAAUUCAUUAUAAAUUAACCAGAGAUAAUUAGGAGUCAUGCCAUAUAUGUAUAGAUUCCUCUCUGAGUCUAGUUUCUAUAGAAACAAAUGGCAUCAGUAUUGAAGCCCUGUACAGGGAGAUAUCCAAAUUGUAAUGCAUGAAGGUCAGUGUAGUCGUACCCUGUAACAGGGGAGACUUUAACUAAUAAACUGUACUAAUUGGCCCAACCAAAAAUUCUAGAAAAAAAUAUGUUGAUGGAAAUAGGAGUCUAGUUUCAGGGAAAAAUCACGAAACUGAUUUUCGAGUUGUGAAAAUCAAGAUAUGAUUUUUAAGGUGACAGCGACACAGUUAGCCAGCUGUCUGGAAAAAUUUAAAAUGGACUGCAAUAGUAAGCGAAUUUAGUCUGUGAACCCCUCGUGUCCGACUCCGGCAAUGGUCUCGAGUACGGGGUGUUACAAUUUUAUUAGUAUCAGAGCUACGGUUUAGUCGAUUCUAGGACUACCGUAAUACGUUUGGGUCUAGCUAUACAUGACAUUAUGUGAUUAUUUGAUAGUGUGGUGAUUUCUGACAAUUGAAAAUGUGUUUAUUUAUUGUAAUGAAUUCCGAUCCCGAUCGAGCUGUAGCAGAUGGUAUUGAGAGGAUUGAGACAUGCUUAUGAUGUGUCAAUAUUGAGAAGGGUAUAACAUAAGUAAGUUUUGAGUAAUUGAAUUUGGUAUUUAACUUAAAAUGCCAUGAUAUACAUGUAUGAAAAAUGAAUGAUGUCCCAUUGUCCUUAUCAUAAUAAGGUUAUUAGAGAAAUGAACAAAGGAAGAGAUUGGGGAUAUAUGCUUUUAUGUGAUUGCUUAUUGAGCUGAAAGUUUAGUAAAAGAAGCAUACAUGUAUUAGAUUUGAAUGAUAUUUACGACUUAAAGUCAAGAAUCAUGUUAUAUGUUUACAUGUGAAUGAAUUGAUUAAAUUAUAAAUGUGAUUUGUGCCAUGUGAAACAUGAUAACAUGUGAAUAAAUAUGUAUGAGACUCAGUGAUGUGAAUCCGAGUUUAAAGACCCGCUGACUAUAUGAAGAGAUUAUGUCCGGGUAAAGACCCGAUGGCUAUGUACAGAGAUUAUGUCCGGAUUAAAAUUCGCUGGCCUUGUGUGGAGAUUUCAUCCGAGCUAAAGGUCUCGACGAUGAUCCGGGCUAAGUCCCGAAGAGCAUUCAUGCUAGUGAUGUACCCGGGCUAAGUCCCGAAGAGCAUUCAUGCUAGUGAUGUAUCCGGGCUAAGUCCCGAAGAGCAUUCGUGCUAGUGAUGUAUCCGGGCUAAGUCUCGAAGAGCAUUCGUGCUAGUGAUGUAUCCGGACUAAGUUCCGAAGAGCAUUCGUGCUAGUGAUAUAUCCGUGCUAAACCCCGAAGAGCAUUCGUGCUGGUGUUAUAUCCGGGCUAGGUCCCGAAGAGCAAUCAUGCUAGUGACGUGUAUUCGGGCCUUCGUGCCUAGUAGGCUUCGUGCCGGUAAUUUGAGCAAAGUUUAAGUAUUCAUUACUAUACGAAUUCAAAUUUAAAUGAGAUGAUAUGUUUAAAAGUGUACAUACAUGAUGUUUAUAGACUUGGUUAAGUCAUUUCAGUGUGUAAUAACGAAUGAUUAGAGGCACUGUGUGUGUGCGAAUUCCUUUAAUCGAGCACUAUGAGUGCGAGAUCGGUCAGUGGGCACUAAGUGUGUGAAGUGGAAUUCAUGUAAGACCUCGUCUGGGACGAAAGCAUUGAUUUGAGAUAGUGUGUAAGACCAUGUCUGGGACAUGGCAUCGGCUCGUUAUGUGAGCAUAUGUAAGACCAUAUCUAGGACAUGGCAUUGUAAGAGCUAUAUGUGCUUAAUGAGUAUCCGUAAUGAUUUCGAAUGAUUCAACGGGUAUAUUUAAGAUGAUAAAUAAAGUAAGAUCAGAAUAAGUGAUACAGGUAUGUACGGAAGGUAUGUGAAAAUCAAAUGAAAGUAAAAAAAAAUUGUGAGUUCAUAUUAUAUUAUGUUAUGUAUACUAAAUAAGUUGAAUAGUGAGAUAUGAUGGAGUUAUUAAGGAUAUUUAUUGGGAUGGUUGAGUAUAUGUGUACUUUUGGUCAGAUUACAGCUUAUACAUGAAUAAAAAUGUGGGUUACAAAUAUGUGGGUUGAUGAUGUGAAUUAUACAUGUUAAUAUGUGCUUAAUAUGUGUUUGAAAUGCAUUUGUGAAUUAAAUUAAGUGAUUAUUGCUUAUGAAAUCAAGAAAAUGAGAUAUAUGUGCAUUCUUGUAGAAAUGUUUAUGUAUUUGUUUUAAGAUAAGAAAAUGAUUUUAUGGAUCGAUGCGAAAUCAGUAAUGAAUUACAAUUGCUAUCGAUGAGCUAAUGUUUAUAUGGAUAUAAUUCAAUAAGAGGACGUUAUCCUAAACUAUGCAUCGGUAGAAAUUUUCGAGGACGAAAAUCCCUAAAGGGGGGAAGAGUUGUGACACCCCUAAAGUGACCCUAGUCGGAAAGUGGUUUCGGGACCACUAAACCGAGUCAUAAAGAUAAUUAACCGUCAUAGUUGAUGCUCAUUAUAUGUACAUAUGCAUGUGUGAAAAUUUCAUGUUUGAAUUUUGUUAAUAGUAAGUAAAUUUUAUCAAAUAGGACUUAUGUGAGAAAAUUUUGAAAUGUGAUAGGUCAAAGCAUAAGGAUCUAUUAGUGCAUGAAAUAAAAAGGGGGGACUUGCAUGUCAAUUUCCCCCCCUAAUUAGUAGUGGCCGGCCAUGACAAGUAUGGUAGACCAAGUGUGAUGGGCAAGAACAUGUCAUAAACAUGUUAAGUUAGUGUUUCAUGGGAAGUAUGAUAAAAUAAGGAGCAUGGGAAUAAAAUAAUGAAAGGGAAUAUGAUGAAAACAAAAAAAAAGUGUGUGGUUGUUCCCCCAUUUUGCCGAAACAAGAAAAAAAAAGAGAAAGGCUUCAUCCUUUGGUUCUUCUUGGCCGGUUUGAAAGGAGGAAGAAGAGAGGUUUCGGUCACCUUGAGCUUAAAGGGAGGUUAGUAUGUUGUGUUAAAUUCUUAAGUUUUAAACUUGUUUCUAGUUAAUUAGCAAAUUUCUUACACAAACCAUGGCAAAAUUUUGAAAUCUCGGUGAUGGCUUGAGCAUUCGGUUUUGGUUGUUGAAAGGAAUGAGUUGGAGGUUGGAUCAUGUUAAGAUUCGGCCUUGUACAUAAACAUUAAGAGUUUGAUGUUUUUGCGAUUUUUGGAAGGUAAAUAAGGUUAUACACAAGAUAAAUACUAAGAUUUUGGUUGACUUGUUUUAGUGAGGUUCGGCCAAGGACCUUAUGUGCAAGUUUAUUCGGUUUAAGUAGAGAAAACGUGACGGAUAGAUAUGAAGUAAUGUGUAUAUUGGUUCGGCUGCUAAGCAAGGAAACAAUUGUUAGUAACAUAGUAUCUAUGCACUUAUGUAUAUAUAUGUAUGUACAAAUAACCUAUUUAGCUAUGGAUAUCUAAGGUGUUAAAAAAUGAAAUUCUUGAUGACUUGGGUUAAAUAGCAUUCGGCCAAGGACUAUAUGGGCUUGUUAAUUCGGUUUAAGUGGAGAAACUAUGAUAGAGAAAUAUGACUAAAUUGUGAACUUUGACAAUUUAAAUGAUGCAUUUGACUUGUGUACCGACCUAGGACGAUAUGUGUUUCUAUAUGAAGUUAGAUGGUGUUGAUGAAGUUCGGUAAUGCAUGAUGUUUAAAUAGUAUUGAGCAAGGUCAUUGUACUUAAAUUGUAUGACAUACAUGUAUUGAAUGGAAUUACCCAAGUGAAAAUAUUAAAUGAAUUUAUUUGUUUAAAUUAAGCUCAAGAGCAAAUGGGAUCUAAAUCCGAUAAAGGGAAGGAAAAAGUGAUCGAAUAGCCGCCGAAAUCGUUCGACCACAUCCGAGGUAAGUUUUAAGUGAUUAAACGUUGAGUAAAUUCAAUCAUAAUAGGACAUAAUGAGUUGAUUUAAUAAGAUAUGAUGUGGCCAUGAUAUGUCUUAAACUCAAAUGGUAAGUUCAUACGUGUUUGGACUUGGAAAGUUAAGAGCAAAUAGUAAUAAUUUGCUUUGGACAGUAGCAGUAACGUGAUUUUAGAAAAUCACUAUAAAUUGUUGGUGUGGAAUUAUAGGCUGAAUAAAAUAUGUAAUCAAGGCUUAAUUAGUCUAGUUUCUUAUAAAAGAGACCUUGUGAGCAAACAAAUUUCCUAUAAACAGAUAUUUAAAGUUGUGUGAGACGGUGUUAGAAUGACUCCGAAAUCUCCUGUUCUGUUUUUAGAAAAUCAUUAUAAAUUGUACAAAAAUGGUUAUAAGAUAAAAUUUAUAUGCUUAGACUCCUUAAUGAGUCUAGUUUCAAAUGAAAUCAAAUACAACACAUUUUGAAUUCUGUAAAAUGAGAAAUUUGAUUCACAGUGAAGAGUGGUCAGAUUAGUCAAACAGAGAAACAGGGGAAACUUUAAGAAAAAUCUGGUAUUGAUUGGCCAAACCUAAAAUUCUGAAACUUUUAUGGAGGGAAUAUAUACGAGUCUGUAUUCAGGGAAAAUUAACGGCAAGUGAUUUUGAGUUUUGUAGCUCCAGUUAUAAAUAAUUUAGUGACUACUGCUCAAGAAAAUAGCUCGUAGUGAAUAUGUGAUUUUGUUGUAAACAUGGAUAAAACUUGUUUUAGUUACUCAUAAGCUAUUGAUUAAACCCAUACGUGAAUUCUAAAUCGUGAUAUUGUAAAACGAUAUAUGAGUGUUAGAUGGAUCUUUGAUAUUAAAAUUUGAGAAAUUGUAAGUUUAUGAGUAUUCGAAUAUGAAAUGAUAGUAUGGCGUGAAAUUGAAUUAUUCAUUGGGAAAUGAUUAAUGUAGAUUCGGCCUAGACAAAGUGCAUACAUGAUAGUAUAUGUGAUAUGUGAAGUAUAUUUGGAUAAUUGUGAUGUGAAUGUAUAUAUAUGUGAUAAGGCUUAAUGGCCGAUGUGAUGAAUGUGAAAGUGUAUAUACAUGUGAUAAGGCCUAAUGGCCGAUGUGAUGAAUGUGAAAGUGUAUAUAUAUGUGAUAAGGCCUAAUGGCCGAUGUGAUGAAUAUGAAAGUGUAUAUAUGUGAUAAGGCCGAAUGGCCAAUGUGAUGAAUGUGAAAGUGUAUAUACAUGUGAUAAGGCCUAAUGGCCGAUGUGAUGAAUGUGAAAGUGUAUAUAUAUGUGAUAAGGCCUAAUGGCCGAUGUGAUGAAUGUGAAAGUGUAUAUAUGUGAUAAGGCCUAAUAGCCGAUGUGAUGAAUGUGAAAGUGUAAUAUGUGAUGAGGCCUAAUGGCCGAUGUGAUGAAUGUGAAAGUGUAUAUAUGUGACAGGGCCGAGUGGCCAACGUGAUGGAUGUGAAAGUGUAUAAAUGUGAUAAGUCCCGAAGGGCAAUUGUGUCAGUACUAUAUCCGGGUUAAAACCCCGCAGGCUUUAUGCGAGAGUAUUAUCCUGAUUAAUGUCCGUAGGCUUCGUGCUCGUACUAUAUCCGAGCUUUAAAGACCCGACGGCUAAAUGCUAGGAUUCAAGUAAGACUUUGAUAUUGAGUAUCUGCAUUAAGUUACCAUCAAAUAAGUAUUAUGUAUUCAAGAUGUUCAGGUACGUAUUACUUACUCAUCGGUGGAGUGAUUUCGAGGUGAAUUAUCAGUAUCAAAGAGGUAGGUAAAUGUGAUUAAUAUUAUAACUCCAAAUGUGAGAAUGUGCUUUGGAAAUAUUUGACCAUCUAGGUCAUUAUUAUUCGAAAGUAUAUAUGUGGCAGCCAAGUGUUGC